GGAGUUUAGUAGCAGAGCGUCUGAAUCAGAUGCAGGAGGUCUCGGGUUCAAAUCCCGGCUGAGUCA